UACAGAGGUCUCGAGCGUUGUUCGGAUUCAUUGGGCGUAAAGGGUGCGUAGGUGGCGGGGCAAGUCAGGUGUGAAAUCCCGGGGCUCAACCCCGGAACUGCAUUUGAUAUUGCCUUGCUCGAGUACUGGAGAGGAGACUGGAAUUUACGGUGUAGCAGUGAAAUGCGUAGAUAUCGUAAGGAAGACCAGUGGCGAAGGCGAGUCUCUGGACAGUUACUGACACUGAGGCACGAAGGCCAGGGGAGCAAACGGG
rnacentral:rRNA from 1 species